AAAUAGCUUUAGGGCUAGCCUCAAGUGAUGAUUAUUGGAGGUAGAGCACUGUUUGGACGAGGGGCCCCUCUCGGGUUACCGAAUUCAGACAAACUCCGAAUGCCAAUUAAUUUAACUUGGGAGUCAGAACAUGGGUGAUAAGGUCCGUGUUCGAAAGGGAAACAGCCCAGACCACCAGCUAAGGUCCCAAAAUAUAUGUUAAGUGGAAAAGGAUGUGGCGUUGCCCAGACAACUAGGAUGUUGGCUUAGAAGCAGCCAUCAUUUAAAGAGUGCGUAAUAGCUCACUAGUCGAGUGACACUGCGCCGAAAAUGUACCGGGGCUAAACAUAUUACCGAAGCUGUGGAUUGUCCUUUGGACAAUGGUAGGAGAGCGUUCUAAGGGCGUUGAAGCAUGAUCGUAAGGACAUGUGGAGCGCUUAGAAGUGAGAAUGCCGGUGUGAGUAGCGAAAGACGGGUGAGAAUCCCGUCCACCGAUUGACUAAGGUUUCCAGAGGAAGGCUCGUCCGCUCUGGGUUAGUCGGGUCCUAAGCUGAGGCCGACAGGCGUAGGCGAUGGAUAACAGGUUGAUAUUCCUGUACCACCUAUAAUCGUUUUAAUCGAUGGGGGGACGCAGUAGGAUAGGCGAAGCGUGCGAUUGGAUUGCACGUCUAAGCAGUAAGGCUGAGUAUUAGGCAAAUCCGGUACUCGUUAAGGCUGAGCUGUGAUGGGGAGAAGACAUUGUGUCUUCGAGUCGUUGAUUUCACACUGCCGAGAAAAGCCUCUAGAUAGAA
rnacentral:rRNA from 1 species